ensembl:lincRNA
GCUAGGAAGAACACGUGCAAUGGAAUGAAACCAUGGGGAAACCGGAGACUCACCGAGAGGACUUGUGAGGACGUUGAAGAGCUUCGUGGUGGGGAACUGUUGCCUUGCUCACCCCAGCAGCUUGAAGCGAAAGCACACAGAGCCUUUGGAGCCCUGGGCAGGUGCCUGAAGGAGCACAGAUCUCCGAGUCAGGCCUGGAAGAGCUGCCUGCACACCAGGAACACGCGUUUAGGGGUCGGUGUGAAGCCAGUCUGCCUGCAUUUCCAGGUUACGUGUGACAGCAGCUCGCAUUUCUCCCGCGUGCACAGCUUCGCUGUUUGAGGAUGGGUGGAAGAAGCCUGUGCCUUUGUGCUGUGACCGUGCUCUUUUGAUCCAGGAAUAAUUGAAGGAAACAAUUUUUCUGCCACGAUGUCAGGAAAAUGGGUUCAUAGUAAGCACUUCAUUUGUCUCACAAGACUUUCAUGGUUUUGCUUUAGACCCCUCCUGGCACACUCUGGCUCCCGACGUGGUAGUAACACCUAGGUCUCUAGUUUUCUAAGUCAUAUCGGCUCAUCCUAUUCGGAUCGGCAUUUUUAAAAAAUGUUGCCAAAGAGGUGGUUUUAUUUUUAUUUUUAAAUAGUCUUCUUUUUUAUUUUUUGUACCAGGUAUCGAACUCGGGCCCUUGGGCUUGUGAGGCAAGUGGCAAAAACCACUGAGCUAAAUCCCUGGCCCAGAAACAGAUGGUUUUAAAUGCUGCCUUAUUUAAUUUUGCUAGGAGAAAUUUUUAUUUACUAUGAUGUUACUACUGAGGACAGCAUAAUGAGAAAUAUUUUUAAAGCAAGCUGAAUUAAUAAAAUUCAGUAAAAGUCUCACAUUUCAGGUAUCUGCACUAAUUUAAUAAACUGUAAAUAAUGUGGGAGGAGGGAAGAGUAAGAAUUGCAUACACCAUCUUAGUUAUAAGUAACUGAGCUCCUCUUGUAUCUCUAGGUAUUUUUUCAUCACCCAAUUACAGAAAAAAGUAAAACAGAAACCCCUAUCCUACAGAUGUUUGUUCAUGUUUCAGAGCAUUAUAAUUUAUCUUUACAAAAUAGGAAAGGAGGACAACUAGAAACCACUCUGAAGACAGUCACACCGAUUUUUAAAAACUGUUUCACAGAUAAGAAGUCGGCCUAUUCCUUCAUGUAGGUGUCACGGAGCACCAGGAUAACACUGGCGAGAAAUCUACAGAAAAGUGUUUUACAAUUAAAGGAGAAUCUCAUGGUAUCAUUAAUUACUAGCCAUAAAAGCAGAAAAGAACAAUAAUGUACAAGUUGAACCUGAUGAUCCUAACUCCCCCUUUCGAUAAUACCAAAACCUCACAUAACAGCCUUUAAAUGAAAUUUAUAUUUAUCUGUCAAUUUAGAUAUCACCAUAUCACAUAAUCAUUAAAAAGAAAUAGCCAUUUCCUCUCUAUAGAAAUAUUAUUAAUUUUAUAAGUGCUUUUGAGAGAAAAACAAUUGAAGAUAAAAACCUUGUUUAAAGUCAGCAACUUAUAUUGAUGCUUUAUAUCUGAAUUAUUUUUUGUAAGAUAACGAGCUUUGGUGUCAGAGUUUGAUUUGAAUCUUAAUUCUACUCAGUAUGUAAGAUAAUAUGUUUAUAAAGGGCCUGAAAAAGGUCAAGGCACACAGUAACUCCUCAGAUGUGAGCCAUUACUUCUAAUCAAAGCGGUGGUGGUUGUCAUGUACAAGUACUUGCUAAGAAUGCUUACUGAACGUUAUGGUCCUUCCCCUAAUCACUGAAUGAGUAUUACUCACUCUGGAUGAUACAUGAACACAGUGAGGCUCAGAAACGUCUGGAAAUGUACUCAGAGCAUGGACCUAGAUGUGUGAGAAGCCAAAGCACCAAUGCUACUAACCUCUAACUUGCUGCUUUUUAAAGGGAAGUCUGUUAAAAGUCCUUGCGGACUAGGUGUGUAUUGGGGGUGGAAGGCUGCCUGGACGUUUACUCUAAGAACUAAACAACUUGUAUGCCGAUGAGAAUAUUUUAAACAAUUAAUAGUCAUGCCCCAAAUUAUCUGGACAAUUGCUAAAUGUUGCUAGAACACUUCAAUGCUUUGGUUUUGUAUUUACCUGACAAUAAUGCCCAAACAUACUUUACACUGGAAGGCUUAAUUCUAUAAAAUGGAAUACUACUCAGCCAUAAAGAAUGAGAAAUUAGAUUCAUUCAUAGGAAAAUGGAUACAUAUUGAGGAUAUACUCAAGUAAAAUAAAUAAGUCACACGUGUGUAAAUACUGAAUAGUUUCUCUGGUGUGAAAAGCUAGAACAGUACAUAAGAUCCUAAUGAGAUAAUUGACCAUGUGAAAUAGGAAGCAAAGGGCUAAAGGUGUAGGGAAAAUAGGAAUGGUAGGGGAAAGGUAAUAAGGGAAAAGAAAAAAUAUGACAAAAUGAAAAAAUGGAAAUGAAGUGUUUGUAAAUGGGGAGGGGAGGAGGGGGUGAAGGGAGGGCAGGGACAAGGGGAAAAAAUGAGAACCAAGACCUGUAAAGGUACAAGAUCCCAAUAAUGAAUGUAAUUGUAUUGUACACCUAAAAUGCACCAAUAAACUCAAUAAAGGGAAAAAAAAAAAAGAACAGAGGCUGUCUUAAUGGGGAAUGACGCAUUCAAGCUAGACGAAGAUCAAACAUCACUAAGUGUUGAACAAAUGAAAGUAAUGUGAAGGGUGGACUGGACCUAGCACUGAGCAGAAGGAUGUGUGCGGAGCGUGACUGAACGUUGAUAUAAUACACCAAAGUUGUAGUACAAGUGUUGGUUUCAUUUUGGCCAAACAUCACCAUCCAACAUAUUUAAUCAACAUUAUUUUAAAAUUACUAGCUUUUAUAGUUUUCCUUGUGCCUCAUCUGUAAACUUGUUUUUAUACUUGUGCAAGAGCUAUCAGCACAAGGCAUUUAUAUCUAGUUUGAAGUUUAUAUAUAUAGUUUAGAUAACGUAUACAGAUAACAAGUGAAAAGUGAGACGCUAAUACACCGUUUUCCUCAUUAAAAGGGAACUUCAUUGCUCAAGUUUGAGAAGCACUGCUCUACUCUGGACAGCCUGUGCAUGUGGCCUUCAGCAGGUCACUCAACCUUUAUUGCUACUCAUGUUAUAGGACUUGGAGGACUAAAAGAAAAUGUGCAAGUGUCUGGACCACAAAAUGUAUUAGAGCUCCACAGAGAAUGCUGACAGCUAAAUUCACUGUGUUUUGUACUACUCUUAGGUUAAGUGAGGUGACUGGAGAAAGCCUGGUAUUAAUGAUCAAAAAUGAAUGUUCUACCGCUGUGUUUAGUGUAAAAAUAGUUUUUGCUAUUGGUUUGCCAUAGACUAUUUACAUAUUGUGGGACCUCCUUUGAAAGGAAGCUAAUUUCCAAUUCAGAAAGACUGAAGGUCUUUUAGGUAUUUUAAAAUACAAAGUAUUCAUAGUAACUCUCUGAAUUUUGAAUACAUAACUUUUAAAAUCCAGUCAAUGAAAACAUUUUUAGGUCUCUUUUACCUAACAGCAAUUAAAAUCAUUUAACUAUGUUAAGUUCUUCAGUAUUUUAGCAAACAUGGUCUAGUCUAACACUGCCUCAGUUUAUAAUUAUGUGCUUACAUUAACAUACAUUAUAAAAUGGGAUUAUGGGCACAGAAUAUUAGUUUUACUGCUUGACAAAAAUAUUAGGUCACAUUCAGCAGUUAUGAUUUUGUUCAUGUAAUUUACCUAGAGAAUAUUAUGUUUUUCUUCUAGAACCCAGUGAACCUGUAUAUUUAAGGCAUGCUGUACUUAAGAUUCAAAGAUGUUCUUCUUGGAAAUGUAGAAAAUAUUAAUGAUAUCCAAGAGACCCACUAGUAUCUAAGACAAUAUUUAGUAAGAACAAACACUUGAACUAUGAUAUUUAUUGGUCUGUCUUUAUACAUGGGCUACAGAAGUUAUACUGAAAGAAUGUACAGCAGAUUGUGUGUGUGUGUGUGUGUGUGUUGCAUGCAUAUGUAUCUAUGUUUAGGCCUACUAAAUAGUCCUUACAUCUCUGUGUAUAUGUGUGUUAUGUAUGAAAACUUACAUAUAUCUAUGUUUAGGCCUACUAAGCAACCCUUAUCUCCAGGUUUCUCUGACGUACACUAUAGGUAGACUAUACACUCAAUAUGUGUGUCUCCACUCUAGUUCACAUGAAAAAGCUCUGAUCCGCCAUGUGAUGAUACUUGGAGUUGGGCCUUUGAGAGUUAAUUAUGUCAUGAGGAUGGAACUCACAUACUGGGAUUAGUGUCCCUUAUAUAAAGGAACAGUGAGUAAUGAUCUCUCUCUGCCAUAUGAAGGAAGACACACCAAGGAGGAAGUCAUCGGCAAACUGGGAAGCCAAAUGACUGGCACUCUGAUCUCCAAACUUGUGAGAAAUAAAUGUUGCUUCAGCCACCAAAUUUAUGGCAUUCACCCAAUAGGAAUAAGACAAAUUAGAACAUGUUCUCAGGAAAUCAAAAAUCAAGGGUUAACCACAUGCCACAAGGCUGUCAUUAGUGCUAGUACAAAUAAAACAGUGCACUACAUGUUGAUUACGAUGACUAUAAAGGAGGGGAAAGAGAAGAAAAAGAAUUGAGAUGUGUUGUAUACAUGUACCAGCUUCCCAUGAGGACUGUAAUCAGUAUGUCCUGCAAACAUGCACUAAGGAAAACAAUUAAGGGAAUUCCAAGUGGAAACUUACCUAAUUUCUCUAUAGCUUCUUUUGUGUUUUUGGUGCUUAAUAAGCCAAUUCACUUUUCCUAUUACCAUAUAAUUCUUCUCUAUGUAGUACUUCAAAUUCUUAUUUCUAUUCAUAUAUCAAACAAUUUAAACUCUAUAUACAUUAUAUAUAGACAAUGUAUCAGAAAUAUAUGUAUAUAUAUAUAAAAUAUACUACACAUAUAGACAAUGUAUCAUGGGAAACAGUCUUUUGUAGCUUAUACUGAACAGUAUAUUUUAUCAACCAUUACCCUAUUUGAAUUCAUUAAUCAAUACCUAUGGGAAUAAACAAACAACAUACAUAAGCCCUUUUUUCUA